rnacentral:rRNA from 1 species
CGAACGGUAACAGGUCUUCGGAUGCUGACGAGUGGCGAACGGGUGAGUAAUACAUCGGAACGUGCCUAGUAGUGGGGGAUAACUACUCGAAAGAGUGGCUAAUACCGCAUGAGAUCUACGGAUGAAAGCAGGGGAUCGCAAGACCUUGUGCUACUAGAGCGGCCGAUGGCAGAUUAGGUAGUUGGUGGGAUAAAAGCUUACCAAGCCGACGAUCUGUAGCUGGUCUGAGAGGACGAUCAGCCACACUGGGACUGAGACACGGCCCAGACUCCUACGGGAGGCAGCAGUGGGGAAUUUUGGACAAUGGGCGCAAGCCUGAUCCAGCAAUGCCGCGUGCAGGAUGAAGGCCUUCGGGUUGUAAACUGCUUUUGUACGGAACGAAAAGCCCUGGGUUAAUACCCUGGGGUCAUGACGGUACCGUAAGAAUAAGCACCGGCUAACUACGUGCCANCAGCCGCGGUAAUA